rnacentral:misc_RNA from 1 species
GAUGAAGAACGUAGCGAAAUGCGAUAAUUAAUGUGAAUUGCAGAAUUCCGUGAAUCAUCGAGUCUUUGAACGCACAUUGCGCCUCAUGGCAUUCCGUGAGGCAUGCCCAUCUCAGCGUUAGAAAAUAUUCUCAAAUUUUAGUUUUGUGCUAAAAUUUGGAUCAUGUCAAGGAAGCUAUUACUAUUAUUGUGAUCGCUCUUUGGAAAUUGAUAGGUCUUUGAGUUGCUACUCAUAGAACGUGAUGAAUCUUUCUUCGUUCUAUUGUAAUUCACUCUGGUAGUCCUAAAACAUGUAUGCCUGUGGCAUAUCUUGUAAUUUGACCUGAGAUUGGGUAGGGAUACCCGCUGAACUUAAGCAUAUCAAUAAGCGGAGGA